UAUAGAAGACAGCGCGCUAGCGUAUCUAGUCUGUUUAUCUAUGGUCGGCAGGUCUGGUAGCAUCUCUGGCUGCUGUUGACCUUGUUUUUGGAGUAAAACACGGUGGAAGCUGAAUUAGUGAGGAUGACUCCUGCUCCUGUCAUCUCUAAGCUCCUCACACAUCUUUACCUGCACAUGAGGAAAAUCACUCCUGUAGAAUGCAGAUGUUCAGAGGGAGAUGAUGCCACAUCUGGUCCAGCCGAUGGAAGGUCUUGAAGUUCUCUGACUGGCCUCGACUGAAGAUGGUCGUCUCACUGGAUUUAAGGUUCAGAUGCUCAGUAACAAACUCCACCAAUGAGCCAACAGGGAAGCUUUAGGUUUAUUAAAUGUUGCUAUGAAGGUUUCGCUGUUUUUCUUUGUGAAUGCAAUGUGCUCCAACUGAAACUUGAAUUAGAACUUAGAAGUAAAUCCUUCCAUCUGAAAGGAUUUAGUUGCAUUAAUAACCUCACAACAUUCUAAUUUUUAUUCCAGUCUUGGUUGGAAAUAGAAUCUCUGUAUUGAUUCAGGUAAAAACUGAACUUCACAGCAUCUUGAAGCAAAACAACCAGAUGAAAACUGUGAUGGUGUUGGAUUGUCAGACCGUAAUGUUGCAGCUCAAAGCAGCUUUUCUAUCUCAGUUCAUUCUGACAUUCAGCUAUGAAUCAACACAGCAGAUGGUGAUCCAUGCUGUGGAAGUCUCACAUCUCCUGAUUUAAUGGAGCUGCUUUGCACUUUUUACACUGUUUAUUCACCAACACUUCAUUUAAUAAAAGUCCCAUCUAGUUUUUA